rnacentral:rRNA from 2 species
AAGACUGGAUAGGAAAUUAGAAGGCAUCUUUUAAUUUUUAAAAGACCUUUUUCGAAAGGUAUACUUAAAGAGGGGCUUGCGGCACAUUAGUUAGUUGGUAGGGUAAAAGCCUACCAAGACCAUGAUGUGUAGCUGGACUGAGAGGUUGAACAGCCACAUUGGGACUGAGACACGGCCCAAACUCCUACGGGAGGCAGCAGUAGGGAAUUUUCGGCAAUGGAGGAAACUCUGACCGAGCAACGCCGCGUGAACGAUGAAGUAUUUCGGUAUGUAAAGUUCUUUUAUUGAAGAAGAAAAAAUAGUGGAAAAACUAUCUUGACGAUAUUCAAUGAAUAAGCCCCGGCAAACUAUGUGCCAGCAGCCGCGGUAAUACAUAGGGGGCGAGCGUUAUCCGGAAUUAUUGGGCGUAAAGGGUGCGUAGGCGGUUUGGUAAGUCUAUAGUUUAAUUUCAGUGCUUAACACUGUUCUGCUAUAGAAACUAUCAGACUAGAGUGAGAUAGAGGCAAGUGGAAUUCCAUGUGUAGCGGUAAAAUGCGUAAAUAUAUGGAGGAACACCAGAGGCGUAGGCGGCUUGCUGGGUCUUUACUGACGCUGAGGCACGAAAGCGUGGGGAGCAAACAGGAUUAGAUACCCUGGUAGUCCACGCCGUAAACGAUGAGUACUAAGUGUCGGGGAAACUCGGUACUGAAGUUAACACAUUAAGUACUCCGCCUGAGUAGUACGUACGCAAGUAUGAAACUUAAAGGAAUUGACGGGACUCCGCACAAGCGGUGGAUCAUGUUGUUUAAUUCGAAGAUACACGAAAAACCUUACCAGGUCUUGACAUACUCUGCAAAGCUAUAGCAAUAUAGUGGAGGUUAUCAGGGAUACAGGUGGUGCAUGGUUGUCGUCAGCUCGUGUCGUGAGAUGUUAGGUUAAGUCCUAAAACGAGCGCAACCCUUGUCACUAGUUGCCAGCAUGUUAUGAUGGGCACUUUAGUGAGACUGCCAAUGAAAAAUUGGAGGAAGGUGAGGAUCACGUCAAAUCAUCAUGCCCCUUAUGAUCUGGGCUACAAACGUGAUACAAUGGCUGUUACAAAGAGUAGCUAAAACGCGAGUUUAUAGCCAAUCUCAUAAAAGCAGUCUCAGUUCGGAUUGAAGUCUGCAACUCGACUUCAUGAAGUUGGAAUCGCUAGUAAUCGCGAAUCAGCAUGUCGCGGUGAAUACGUUCUCGGGGUUUGUACACACCGCCCGUCAAACCACGAAAGUUGGUAAUACUCAAAAACGGUAGCCUAACUUCUUCGGAAGAGGGAACUGUCUAAGGUAGGAUCGAUGAUUGGGGUUAAGUCGUAACAAG